rnacentral:rRNA from 1 species
AGUGAACGCUGGCGGUAGGCCUAACACAUGCAAGUCGAACGGCAGCACAGGAGAGCUUGCUCUCUGGGUGGCGAGUGGCGGACGGGUGAGGAAUACAUCGGAAUCUACUUUUUCGUGGGGGAUAACGUAGGGAAACUUACGCUAAUACCGCAUACGACUUACGGGUGAAAGCAGGGGAUCUUCGGACCUUGCGCGAUUGAAUGAGCCGAUGUCGGAUUAGCUAGUUGGCGGGGUAAAGGACCACCAAGGCGACGAUCCGUAGCUGGUCUGAGAGGAUGAUCAGCCACACUGGAACUGAGACACGGUCCAGACUCCUACGGGAGGCAGCAGUGGGGAAUAUUGGACAAUGGGCGCAAGCCUGAUCCAGCCAUACCGCGUGGGUGAAGAAGGCCUUCGGGUUGUAAAGCCCUUUUGUUGGGAAAGAAAUCCAGCUGGCUAAUACCCGGUUGGGAUGACGGUACCCAAAGAAUAAGCACCGGCUAACUACGUGCCAGCCGCCGCCGUAA